rnacentral:rRNA from 1 species
UACAGAGGUCUCAAGCGUUGUUCGGAUUCAUUGGGCGUAAAGGGUGCGUAGGCGGCGCGGUAAGUCGGGUGUGAAAUCUCGGGGCUUAACUCCGAAACUGCAUUCGAUACUGCCGUGCUUGAGGACUGGAGAGGAGACUGGAAUUUACGGUGUAGCGGUGAAAUGCGUAGAUAUCAGGAGGAACACCGGUGGCGAAGGCGCUGCUCUGGGCCGGUACUGACGCUGAGGAGCGAAAGCGUGGGUAGCAAACAGG